AAAAAUAAAUCAAUAUUACUGACUCACAGCAACUCUAAUGCAACAACAGUUGUUGUGCCUCGCCGUUUCCCGUCUAUACUUUGCUGAAAACGCCAAGCUGCAUGAUCCCGACUGAUUGCGCCAAAACAAACGUUAAAAUAUGCGCAACCACUAAAAACCUCCUUCUUGUUACUUUUUGUUUCAGAUCAAUUAUGAUCUUAAAUAAAUAAAAAAAAUAAUAAUAAUCAACCAGAAUACGACUUCCUCUUUGGUUCACUCAAAUUUGGCAAUCCAAGUAACGUUAAUAUCGAGUUACGAAACACUGCAGGGAUCUGGAGUCAAUACUGUUGACUUUUUACCCUCAUUGAUUUGAUGCCCAAUCCUAUAAAAUGUGCAACUUUAUAACAAAACAAAACACAGCACUUAAAAAUAUUGAGCUUUUAGUUCUAGAACGUCCGAGCUCACUAAUGUUAGAGCUACUAGUUAACGGUGGCUAACCACUUAAGCGGAUGUAAUACACUUUAGAGCGAUAAAAGCAGCCGUUUCUGAAUUAUAUGCUUGGCAAGUUUCGUUAGGCUGGUACGCGGCAUGGAUGAGCUUUUUGUCUCGAACGGCGAGCCAUUGACGAAGCGACGAGCCGCCAUUACGGACCAGCGCGGAGCAGACAGAGAGAGACGAGUACAAAAAGUACCGCUCAGCCAGCUGGAUAAUUUACCUUCUCAAUGAAGUGGGACUGUUCUUGUUCACAGCGUGAAGCUCGGGCAAUUGGUGUAAAGACUUUUAUUUCGGUAGGAACCUGUAAAUUUACUUAGCAGUAACGGCUAACAGCUAAAAACACGAAGAUGUCAGCAAAAAAAAAAAAUAGCUGACCACUUUUCUCCCCCCCC